CAAACUUUGAAAUUCGAAAAAAAUACAAGUUUUCAAGUCAAAAUCUCAUUGAUUUUUUCUUGAGAGCGUGAGAACUUUAAAUCACAGUGAACGGAAUAAAGAACACAGACCGUGAACUCCUUAGCUCCGUGUGUACCCGGAGACAGGUGAACCUGAAGCUGAACCUGAUAAUCCAACCAACCAUGGAGAAUAUACAGAUAUAUAAUUUUAGUCCUAAUCAUUCUUCCAGAGAAAAUACUUCAUUCUAAAAUUACUGGCAAACUAUAUUUUGUGAAGAUAUAACAUUUAUAACUUUCCAUUAAUAAAUAAAAUGAAGUUUAAUAAAUGUCAAUCAGAUUAUCAGAAAGUUACAGAAUGAUAUAAAAUUUUUCAGAUUUAAAGUUUUCAUUGAAACAUCUUACAAAUUGUAUCAAACCAAAAUCAGAAGUUCGACCUCAAAACUAUUGCCACCCUCUAACUAAACCCUAUCCAGCUUCAAAAUCAACCUUAAUAUCUACCAUUUUACAAAUCAACCAACAAGUAAACUAGAAUCCAAAUCAACCAACACCUCAACCAGUUUCCAAAUCAACCAAUUCCUCAACUGCUUUCUUAAUCAACCAAAACAUAAACCUAUAAUUUCCAAAUCAACCUAUACAUCAACCAGUUUUUAGAUCAACCAAAACCUCAACUUCUUUUUAAAUCAACCAAAGCCUCUAAAUCAACCAGUUUUGAAAUCAACAAUUGCAGUAAACGACAACCAAAUUCCAAAUUACCUAAACAUCAACCAAAAAUUUCUAAAUUUACUACAGAACGUCAACCAGGUUCUAAAUCAAACUUCGGAACGUCAACCAGUUUCCAAAUCAACUUACAGAACGACAACCUGAAUCCAAAUAAUUUGAAUAUCAACCAGACUCCAAAUCAACCUGCAAGAUUCCAAACCAAUUCCAAAACCUCGACCUCUAAUUCAUCAGACAGUGUCUAAAAUUAGGAAAUAAACUAAAAAUGAAGAUUUUGUUAAUUUUCCUGCUUGUUCUUCCAAGUAAAGUCUCUCUUUCAGUAAGUUUUCCAGAUGAGAAAAGACAGUUCCAAUCAAGGACAACUUUAUCACGGUUUAAUGAAACAGGACGGCAAGCAUCGAGGGAGGGUAGAGUGUUUAGCAUCUUUACUCUGGUUAGGUUUAAGAAUACAGCAUGUACUCCAAAUACAAAUUCUUUAAGCAAAGGAA